rnacentral:rRNA from 1 species
AGCUCCAAUAGCGUAUAUUAAAGUUGUUGCAGUUAAAAAGCUCGUAGUUGAACUUUGGGUUUGGUUGUCCGGUCCGGAUCUUUCCGUGUACUGGUAUGCAACCGAACCUUUCCUUCUGGCUAACCUUGGGUUCCUUGUGGAUCCUUGGCGAACCAGGACUUUUACUUUGAAAAAAUUAGAGUGUUCAAAGCAGGCGUAUUGCUCGAAUAUAUUAGCAUGGAAUAAUGGAAUAGGACGUUUGGUUCUAUUUUGUUGGUUUCUAGGACCAUCGUAAUGAUUAAUAGGGACGGUCGGGGGCAUCAGUAUUCAAUUGUCAGAGGUGAAAUUCUUGGAUUUAUUGAAGACUAACUACUGCGAAAGCAUUUGCCAAGGACGUUUUCA